GAUUUCCUGAGAUGUGCGCUAAACUUACGAUAUUCAACCUACAUUACAUUAUCGGGAUUUGCAAUAUACUUAAAGAUGUCGGGCUUCAUUUAACUUUUUAGGUAUCAGAAGAAGACAGACGUGAGUUGCGCUUAACCCACCUGCGAGGCGCAGGUUUUGAAUAUUUAAGUGAACGGCAUGUUGGGAACUAU
rnacentral:other from 1 species